AGGGCACCACCAGGAGUGGGGCCUGCGGCUUAAUUUGACUCAACACGGGAAAACUCACCCGGCCCGGACACUGGAAGGAUUGACAGAUUGAGAGCUCUUUCUUGAUUCAGUGGGUGGUGGUGCAUGGCCGUUCUUAGUUGGUGGAGUGAUUUGUCUGGUUAAUUCCGAUAACGAACGAGACUCUAGCCUACUAAAUAGAUCGUCGGCUUACAAACGCCGGCGAGACUUCUUAGAGGGACAGGCGGUGAUUCAACCGCACGAAACAGAGCAAUAACAGGUCUGUGAUGCCCUUAGAUGUCCGGGGCCGCACGCGCGCUACACUGAAGUGAUCAGCGUGCUUUUUCAACCUACUCUGUCAAGAGUGGGGAACCCAAUGAACCUUCUUCGUGAUUGGGAUAGGGGAUUGUAAUUAUUCCCCUUGAACGAGGAAUCCCCAGUAAGCGCGAGUCAUAAGCUCGCGUUGAUUACGUCCCUGCCCUUUGUACACACCGCCCGUCGCUACUACCGAUUGAAUGUUUU
rnacentral:rRNA from 1 species